rnacentral:rRNA from 1 species
CCAAGCGAUGGGGUGACGCAGGAAGGUAGCUGGGCCAGUCAGUGGUUGUACUGGUGUAAGAGUGUAGGCCGUGACAUAGGCAAAUCCGUGUCACAUUUAGGCUGAGACUUGACGCAUACCCGUUGUGGGGAAUUCAGUGAUCCUAUGCUGCCGAGAAAAGCCUCUAGUGAGUUCUUACACGGCCCGUACCCCAAACCGACACAGGUGAUCAGGUAGAGAAUACCAAGGCGAUCGAGAGAACUGUGGUUAAGGAACUCGGCAAAAUGCCCCCGUAACUUCGGGAGAAGGGGGACCAUGCCCGGUGAACAUCUUCACGGUGGGAGCUGGGUGUGGUCGCAGAGACCAGAGAGAAGCGACUGUUUACUAAAAACACAGGUCCGUGCGAAGACGUAAGUCGAUGCAUACGGACUGACGCCUGCCCGGUGCUGGAAGGUUAAGAGGACCGGUUAGCCGUAAGGCGAAGCUGAGAAUUUAAGCCCCAGUAAACGGCGGUGGUAACUAUAACCAUCCUAAGGUAGCGAAAUUCCUUGUCGGGUAAGUUCCGACCUGCACGAAUGGCGUAACGACUUCUCUGCUGUCUCGACCACAGACUCGGCGAAAUUGCACUACGAGUAAAGAUGCUCGUUACGCGCGGCAGGACGAAAAGACCCCGGGACCUUUACUAUAGCUUGGUAUUGGCGUUCGAUUCGGUUUGUGUAGGAUAGGUGGGAGACUGUGAAGCAUGCACGCCAGUGUGUGUGGAGUCGUUGUUGAAAUACCACUCUGAUCGUAUUGGACGUCUAACCUCGGCCCAUGAUCUGGGUUAGGGACAGUGCCUGGUGGGUAGUUUAACUGGGGCGGUUGCCUCCUAAAGAGUAACGGAGGCGCCCAAAGGUUCCCUCAGCCUGGAUGGCAAUCAGGUGUUGAGUGCAAGUGCACAAGGGAGCUUGACUGUGAGACUGACACGUCGAGCAGGGACGAAAGUCGGGACUAGUGAUCCGGCACCGGCAAGUGGAAGCGGUGUCGCUCAACGGAUAAAAGGUACCCCGGGGAUAACAGGCUGAUCUUCCCCAAGAGUCCAUAUCGACGGGAUGGUUUGGCACCUCGAUGUCGGCUCGUCGCAUCCUGGGGCUGGAGUAGGUCCCAAGGGUUGGGCUGUUCGCCCAUUAAAGCGGCACGCGAGCUGGGUUUAGAACGUCGUGAGACAGUUCGGUCUCUAUCCGCCGCGCGCGUAAGAAACUUGAGGAAGGCUGUCCCUAGUACGAGAGGACCGGGACGGACGAACCUCUGGUGUGCCAGUUGUUCCACCAGGAGCAUGGCUGGUUAGCUACGUUCGGAAGGGAUAACCGCUGAAAGCAUCUAAGCGGGAAGCCUGUUCCAAGAUGAGGUUUCUCACCACCUUGCGUGGUUAAGGCCCCCUACAGACCAUGGGGUUGAUAGGCCGGAACUGGAAGCGCAGCAAUGCGUGGAGGUGACCGGUACUAAUAGGCCGAGGGC